AACGAACGCUGGCGGCAUGCCUAACACAUGCAAGUCGAACGAGACCUUCGGGUCUAGUGGCGCACGGGUGCGUAACGCGUGGGAACCUGCCCUUAGGUUCGGAAUAACUCCCCGAAAGGGGUGCUAAUACCGGAUAAUGUCUUCGGACCAAAGAUUUAUCGCCUUUGGAUGGGCCAGCGUUGGAUUAGCUAGUUGGUAGUGUAAAAGCCUACCAAGGCGACGAUCCAUAGCUGGUCUGAGAGGAUGAUCAGCCACACUGGGACUGAGACACGGCCCAGACUCCUACGGGAGGCAGCAGUGGGGAAUAUUGGACGAUGGGCGAAAGCCUGAUCCAGCAAUGCCGCGUGAGUGAUGAAGGCCUUAGGGUUGUAAAGCUCUUUUACCCGGGAUGAUAAUGACAGUACCGGGAGAAUAAGCUCCGGCUAACUCCGUG
rnacentral:rRNA from 1 species